rnacentral:rRNA from 1 species
UACGGAGGGGGCUAGCGUUGUUCGGAAUUACUGGGCGUAAAGCGCACGUAGGCGGCUUUGUAAGUUAGAGGUGAAAGCCCGGGGCUCAACUCCGGAAUUGCCUUUAAGACUGCAUCGCUAGAAUUGUGGAGAGGUAAGUGGAAUUCCGAGUGUAGAGGUGAAAUUCGUAGAUAUUCGGAAGAACACCAGUGGCGAAGGCGACUUACUGGACACAUAUUGACGCU